rnacentral:rRNA from 1 species
CUACGGGACGCAGCAGUGAGGAAUAUUGGACAAUGGGGGAAACCCUGAUCCAGCAAUGCCGCGUGAAUGAAGAAGGCCUUAGGGUUGUAAAGUUCUUUCACUCGUGAAGAUGAUGACGGUAGCGAGAGAAGAAGCCCCGGCUAACUCUGUGCCAGCAGCCGCGGUAAGACAGAGGGGGCUAGCGUUGUUCGGAAUAACUGGGCGUAAAGGGUGCGUAGGCGGUUGUUUAAGUAAAGUGUUAAAGCCCUGGGCUUAACCCAGGAAUCGCAUUUUAAACUGGACAGCUAGAGUGUGGUAGAGGAAAGUGGAAUUCCUAGUGUAGAGGUGGAAUUCGUAGAUAUUAGGAGGAACACCAGAGGCGAAGGCGGCUUUCUGGACCACAACUGACGCUGAGGCACGAAAGCGUGGGGAGCAAACAGGAUUAGAUACCCUUGUAGUC